CGCUUCUCUCCUGCCUGCGCCAUUUUACAUCAAGAAAUUUCUGGUGAAAACAAAAACAAGCGGUGAGAGAAGAGGGCAAGGACUAGGUGAAGUUAUGUUGCUGGACUAGGCAAUGUCUGAGGGCAAGUCAUAAGUAGGGUUGUGGUGUCAUGAGCAAGAAAAAGAUACAUUACCAUUUUCCUAGAAGCUUCACACAGGGUGCGGGGAUGCUUGGUGUUAUUCAGAAACAAAUGCCAACUAGAGAUGAAUUAUGUUAUGCUCAGCCCUGAAACUGCUCUAGAAUGAAUCAAUUCUCAACUACAAAGUGAAAGAAAAGCAUAUAAUAUUUAUAUAGUGUCAAGUCGAUGCCCUUGAAAGUGCAGAUGCCAGCACUGAGAAUUGGUGGGCUCCCCAGCCUUCAGUGAAGAUGUAUUGAUGCAGACCAGGUGAGAGUAGGCAGCUUCAUUGGCUACCAGGGAAAAUACUUGUUCCCCUGAUGAACUAAGUGCUAUUUGUCUUUCUCAGGUUACAAUCAAGCAUAAAGGCAACUGCCAGGGGAAAAUAGGUGGGCUUCAUUUUUUUUCCAGCAGUGCCAGCCCACCUUACAUUUUGGUAAUAAAAUAGAGUUAAAGUAUGGUUUUGUGUGGGUGUUAGUCAGGAAGUUUAUUUUUCUGAGAAAUGAUUUAAUACUCCUUCAUGAACCCAAAGUGCACAUGGGUGUUAUAAAUCUGAGUUCUUCUUUACAGUGCAUGUGACCAGCAGCUGGAUUACGUAUGAUAACAUUCAGGAUAACGUUGUUGAAAAAGUUUCAUAUUAUUUUGGCAUUUUCUUUUCACUUGCACAUACAACCUGACAACAUAACCUGAGACUAUUUGCAAGCUAUAUGGAUCAAGCCUCCCCAUCAUCUUCGAAAGCUAGGGGGAUGCCUGGGGAUUCUGGGGGGACAUGCUGGAGAGAGGAAGGGAUAAAGAAGCUACAGCUCCUGCUUGCAAGUUGUGUGCAGUACCUGGGAACCACACACCCUGAGGUGUGGAGCUGUUGUGAAGCAAUCUGACCUGCCUGAGUGGCUCCAGAGGGGCCCCCAAACACUCGGAGUUUAGUAAAAACACUAAAAUCUCUUCAGACUCACUCAAAAGGUAUGGAUGACAUCAUGUAAUGCUGCUAGUGACUUCCUUAAACCACACAUGGGAUUAGAAUAAGUUUAUGUGCAUGUUCUUCUGCGUUAUGUAUCAGAAGUAGAGCACGUGCAGAUCUACUUUACAAACUGAAAGCAACACGAUGCCCUCAUACACCAGGUCCCGCCAGGGCUGUGCCAUUUCUUUAUGCUCAUGUCUGCUUUCCUAUAAAGUACGUCUGACACAGGCUCUUUAGUAUCCUAAAGACCAAUGGUGCACGUUAUUAAAGUACUGAAAUAUAAUACCAGAAGUUUGCAUUUAUACAGUAGUGUCUGUAAUUUACACAAUUAAAACAAAGAAUGCAACAUAAGAAGUAGUGCUAAUGAAUGGCUCCCCUCACCUUUUACAACCAAGACCCAUCCAUCACUUACAGGGGAAGCUGGCUUUUCAACUGACUUCACCCUUUAUUAGA
rnacentral:lncRNA from 1 species